UGAUGCAGUUUGAGCUUUUCUCUUCCCAGCAGGUUUGCGAAUCACAUUAAGCUCUUCUGGUGACCUGGGAGGCUAGUUUAGAAGGUGUUCUACCCUGAGCGAGAGGGUAUUUGACUCUUGGACUGUCUUCGACUGGCAUUGGAGGGCCUUUUGGAAACUUAAUUUGAGCAGCGUCGAGGCUCCGUUGAGCAGGGUUCGGGACUCCUUUUGGCUGGAUUGAGCUUGGUGAUAGCUUGCAAUAUCGAAGAUGCACCCUACGGCGACUGAGACAUCCGACCCCGAAAGACGUGCUCCUUCUGAAUUUAGCGAGAUUCGGGAAUUAAAAGAGCAGCUGGCUACUCUAGUUGGAGUGGUGGAGCGACAAGCGAAUGUGACGCUACUUCAAGCCGAGGCUUUGCGCCGACAGGAUGAAGGAAUCAGACGGUUGGAGACCCUCUUGAUUCAACAGACGGCUGAUCUCAAGAAAUGCCACGAGGUUUCGGAUCGUACUUUGACCGUAAGAAAAGGUGUGGAAUACACUGAAAGAGCCAAAGAGGCUACCAAGGGCGAUCAAUUACAUGUCGGGGAAUCAUCAAGGAAACUAAAGAAGAAUCAACCUUGGAAACGUGGUUCUUUUUCUAAGCGAAGAAGAUCG